rnacentral:rRNA from 1 species
AUGUUCCCCAUGUUCCAGGAGCUUGCAUCACAUGACCGGCAAGACAAGUGUGGUCACCACUAUGCCAUCUGUCUUGACCUGAAGAACCAAUGUUUUGAGGUGCUUGAUUCAAUCCGUUCGGAAGCUGAUGCAGAUCUUACUACACAUGCCGAAUUCUUCAUCAACAACCUCAAAGAGACAUGGAACCGUCACUAUGAACAUUCAAAAGUCUAG